rnacentral:rRNA from 1 species
AUCAAUGCUAUAGAACGCAUGUUAUACAACUUUCAACAAUGGAUCUCUCGGUUCUCGCAUUGAUGAAGAUCGCAGCGAAAUGCGAUAAGUAAUGUGAAUUGCAGAAUUCAGUGAAUCAUAGAAUCUUGAAUCGCACCUUGCGCCCUUUGGUAUUCCGAAGGGCACGCCUGUGUGAGUGUCGUGAAAUUCUCAACCCUGUGCUUUUCUUGUGAAAGCGCGUGGGCUUGGACUUGGGGGCUUUGCUGGUCCUCGCGGAUCGGCUCCUCUCUAAUGCAUUAGCGAGACCCUUGUGGUGCCGCCCCCGGUGUGAUAAUUGUGUACGCCGUGGCGGUACGCCACGAUUGUGGGGGACCUGCUUCCAACCGUCGAAAGACAAACUUUAUUGAAACUUGACCUCAAAUCAGGCGGGACUACCCGCUGAACUUAAGCAUAUCAAUAAGCGGAGGAAAAGAAACUAACAAGGAUUCCCCUAGUAACUGCGAGUGAAGCGGGAAAAGCUCAAAUUUAAAAUCUGGCGGCCUCCGGUCGUCCGAGUUGUAGUCUGGAGAAGCGUCUUCCGCGC